GACCUGAGCCAAAGCCAACAAUCAGACACUUAACCGACUGAGCCACCCAGGCUCCCCUCAACAUUUGAUUAAUAUACAGAUAUCCAAUUGCUAUGAAUACUGUUACAAAUACAGGCUGAAAUCAUAAAAAGAGAUACCACCGUAAACUAGUGAUAGUGAUAGAAGCAAAGUGUGGUACCAGCUGCUGUAACCUGUAUAGCAAUGACCUCACAUCGUAUGCUCUGUGUUCUAUCAUCCUGUAAGUGACUACUUAAUAUUCUUGCCACACGGCUUUUAAGAAAAACUAACACAAAAAAUAAAAGCAGUUAUACCUGUGUUUGAUAUUCCUCUCAUACGUGUUCUAGGGUAAUUUGAGAGGAACUCAAAUUGCUAAUGCUGAGAGGGUUUGUUUUGUUUUGUCCUAUAGAACACCCAUUGAUGUCUCACCGACCACUAGGAGGGUUUUGCUUUGGUAAAAGAGAAAUUGAGACAUAUUAAAAAUUUUUAGAGUUUAUCUGAGCACACGUUAGUUUAAAUCGGGCAGAUUUAAGCCAGAAGUGGUUAGGAGUGUUCUACUAGUAGGAGCUAGGAGGAUGAAUUUUAUAGAGAAGACACAAAAGCAAAGCAAAGCAAAUAUUUGAUUAAGUUGUUGUCUUAUUUGGGAAAGCCUACUUGGCUGUUUGUGACUGGUUUUCCUUAGGUUUUGAUUUCUUAGCCCUGAGAUAGUUACAGGCUAUGGUUUUGGGUUGCUUACUUAGGCUGCUAAGGCAUAAGACCCACCUCAGGCUAAUCGCCUCCUUGUUUGAUUAGUUUAACAACUUUAAGAUUUUGGAAAAAAAGAAAAACACGUGAAAAUCCUUGUUUUAUUCAAUUCAUUGUUGAUUAAACAACUAGUGAUUUUUGAAACCUAUGUGCCCAGUCCUGUGUGCAGGCUUGAAAGAAUGACAAAACCCACCUGGGACCUAGUGUAUUUUUGCUUUCUUAUACUUGGCACAUUCUGCUAAAUAUAUUUAUUUACAUCCAUACGACUCCCACUUUGGACUCUGAACUUGUUGAGGGGACUGUGAUUCCUGGUACAUAGUGGUGAAUAACAGAUGUUGACAUGAACUGAACUGAAUUCUAUCUUGAAAAGAAGUACAAUCUGGUUGGUUAAAAAAGAUUUGUGUACAUAAGACAUUCAGAGAGAUUCUUUUAAUAAAAUAAAAGGGUAGGAUAACACGCAUUUUUUUUUUGUUUUAUUGACUAAAUGACCCUUCAGGGAACUUCAUCCUGAAUGGGGCCUACAGGGACUUAGAGUCAUAGAGGAAAAAGACAGCCAAUUUCAGGUAGGCAAAACAGUAGUGCUAAAAUUUCACAAAAUUUAUGUUCUAGUUUACUUGGUUCUCUAUACCUUUAAUUCUACAGAACAAUACUUUCAUGGUCAGAAGGAAGAUGCUUAUCCUUAACCAACUACUGGACUUUUCUGGCUGGUCUGUUUUUCAAAGUAUACAAAGAUAACAAGAUGGCCCCCAGUAAUCCCCAUUUCCCAGUAUUCUCAUCCUUGUGUAUUCCAGUCCCUCACGGAAUAGAACUAUAUAAACAGCAACAAACAGUAUAAACAAUAGAACAUUGGAAAAGUGGUGGCUUCUGAGGCUAGGUCACAAAAGAUAGUAUGCCUUCACCUUGCUCCCUUGGAUCACUCCCUCUGAGGAAAGCCAGCUGCCAUAUUGUAUGGACACUCAAGCAGUCUUCGGGGGAGGUAUGCAUGCCAUGUUGACUGUUCUUGCUGCCACGGGAACACUUAUCAGGAACCCCUUCAUUAUUCCGCCGAAAAAAAGUUUAUUGCACACCUGGAUGCCUUCUACAACUAUUCUGAUGAGACUCUGGCACACGUUAUUCCCACAUUUUCCAAGGCUCUUCAAGGCUCCAAGCCCUGAGGAAUUCUGUGACUUCACACUUGCUCAAAAUAUGAAUCUGAAAAUACAAUUAAUCUAUGGAAUAUAAAAAAGUCAGUUGAAAAGACUCAAUGACAUGGACCCUUCUGUAAGUGAGCAGCAAAGCAUUAACUGGUCUUAAGAGACUUGCAUCAGCAGCCAGGUACCUUGCGGUUCCCGGGAGUUCUAGAUCCCAGACUCCCUCAGCACCAUCUUCCCGGAAACACUGCUUCAGGGUCAUUACCACAAAGAGAGAAGUGUUCAAAAGCACAGGAAAUUGAAGUUUGGAAAUAUCCAGUAACUCGCUGGCCCAGUGUUAUGUCAUAUGGUUGAAGAAAAUGACUUGAGCCGAAGUCGGAUGCUUACCUGACUGAACCACCCAGCUGCCCCUGUGUACCUCCUGAAUUCAAACCCCAGCUAAGGACUUCUUUUCUUUUUAAAUUUUUAUUUAUUUCUGAGAGAGACAGAGGCAGAAUGUGAGCAGGGGAGGGGCAGAGAGAGAGAGGCAGUCACAGAAUCCGAAGCAGGCUCCAGACUCUGAGCUGUCAGCACAGAGCCCGACGUGGGGCUCGAACCCAUGAACCGUGAGAUCAGGACCUGAGCCUAAGUUGGAUGCUCAACUGACUGAGCCACCCAGGGGCCCCUAGAGAUGUCUUUUCUAGAAAGAGAUAGAUGGUAAGCACAUGAAAACUUUUCUUGCUUCCCAGUUAAAACCUGCCACUCCUGAGAAAUUUCUUCCUAAUGAAUUAGAGAAAACAAAAUCUACUAAAUACAGCACAUGGCAAGGAAGCAGACACACAAAGGUGCUGUUCUUAUUUGCCUUGAAAUUGUGUUGGGUGCUUGACUUCUUGGAGACCUCUUACCUUCCCCACCUUACAGACAGGUGUCGGAUGGGAAAUCUGGACACCCGGUGGGCAGUUUUUCCUUUUGGACCAUUCAUUCCCAAGAUCCCCGGAAUAAGCUAAUUCCUCUAUAGCUUCCCACACUGAGUUGCUAAGGGUGGAAGAAGAUUGCUUACAUUACGGGGGUAGAAGCUUAGUCCACGGCCCUACAGUUGGGGCGUCUGAAACAGGCGUGUGAAAAUAAACCAUACACGCAUUUAUUUUUAAAGCCUCCCCCAUAGCCACAGCAUAUCGGGAUUCGUACCAAAGGGCCUUAACUACUGGUGCGUCACUCCAUGAUGGUGAAUGAAGUGCUCAGAGCCCAGAGGGUCCAUCUUGUAGAUGAGACCUGGGGCUGCCACACUUGGCCCCCAUCAGGGUGCAGAGUUGCCGCGGGAAUGUGGGUCCUUCAGUACGACCUCCGCUAUUCCAUUGGAAGUGACCAUCAGCGCCUCCUGCUGGUGGGGUUGUUCCCCCCGGGCAGGUGAAGGCACAAUGAAUUGGGCACCAGGAAACAGGUUCCAGGCAGUGAUGCUGACAGACUGUGUGACCGCUCUUUUUUCUAUCCUGCCUCCAGUUCUUCAGCUAGAAUCCAGAGGGUUCUAUUAGGCCCUCUCUUACGCAGUGGUCGUAUUAGCUGGCUAAGGCUGCUGCCAUAACGUGCCACAGACUGAGCACCGGAAGCAACGGAGAUUUAUUUUCUCACAGUUUUGGGAGCCGGAAGUCUGAAAUCAAGGUGACAGCAGGGCUGGCUCCCUCUGAGGGCUGUGAGGGAAGGGUGCAUUCCAGGCCUCUGUCUUCUCCCUGUGUGUCUUCAUGUCCUCUGCCCUCUACGCACGGCUCUGUGCUCAAACUUUCCCUCUUUAUAAGGACAGAAGUCACACUGGAUUAGGCCUCACCCCAGGGACCUCACUUAGCUCCAUUACCUCUGUAAAGGCCUUAUCUCCAUAUAAGGUCACAUUCCAAAGUUCUGGGGAUUAGGACUUCAACAUAGGAAUUUUGGGGUGGAGUGAGGGCGCAUCAUUCAGCCCCGUAACUGCCAUCUUUCAGAUCUCCUUUCUAUUAGACGAUCUUAGAUAUUAGAUAAGUGUUCAGCCCCCCUGUAGGUGUAAGGAUCAAUUCUGAGACUCUCCCACAGGGAAGAGCCAGGGCACUGGUUCCUGAGGCACCCUGGGGACAGCUGCUCUCUCUGUCCUUGGCAGCUGUCUGCAGUGGCCAGAGGAGACUUGUCGGGAAAUUUACUCCUCACUUCAUAGGGAAGAGGCUAGGAAAAGGUGACUUUCUCCUUUGGGAAUCACAGACGGAGCAGCGGGGAGCACAACAGCCAUCAUUGCCAAAGGCAAACCGAGAAAAUCUUCCCUGUGACAAAUCCAAGAACAGCUCGAUUUAGACUUUGUGCUGGGGGAGAGGCAGACGACUGAUGAGAGAGUGCCAUCAUGGAGCCCACGCCAGCUUUCCACAUGCUUACCCUGGAUUUUAGCAGUAAAUUGUUGGGUGUUCACAUAGUGUGUUAUUUACUGUAUGGCACUUUAUCUGUGUUUAUAAACCAUAGGCUUGGUUUUCCUGCCAACUUCAGUGUGGGAUCAUUGAAAUUAAAAAGAAAGAAACCAAGUG